CUCGCCCUCACCCUCUCUCUCGCACUGAGCCUCUCCCUCUCCCUCUCCCUCGCCCUCUCUCGAUCUCCCGCUCUCCCUCACCCUCUCCCUGUCUCUUGGCCGUAAAACCCACUUUCGCCGCAAGAAGGAGAAGGAGAAGGAGAAGGAGAAGAAGAAGAAGAAGGGUUAGGUGGAGCAUGCCUUUGGGUGACAAACUAUUCAUCUAGUGAGCCUCAUCUUGCAAUGGGCCAUUCUCGACCAAUAUCUUCUAUCAGCUGAUCCUAGGUUGAUGGCAAGAAGAAUCUUUGCCAUUUGGCGUUGAUCUGUUUCUAUUUUACAUAUUAUGUGAAUGUGAUGAUAGAGGGUGCCUCAUGGUUAGAUCUCCAAUGAUGUUAUAGGGUUGAUCUUGAUUAGAAUUCAUGGAUGUUUUGGGUGGUGGCAACAGCCUGUGGAUUAGUUGGACUGGCCAUCAGCUUCACCUCUUUGUGGUUUUUAAACCAAACAGGUCCCACCAUGUACAGUAAGAGUCAUAUACCACUGAGAGAGCCAUCUUGAUUCACCAAUUGACUACUGAUGAAUAGUCUUCCUACCGCCACAUACAAGUAGAGUCAUAUGCCUCCCAUCUGCACAGGGUCUCCAUCAGAUCAGAAGUCUUCAUACCAAAGACCGUACUUUUGUUGAAGAUGAGGACCCCAUGUAAUCUCUUUGAUCAAUAGUCUUCGAUUGAUAUCUUGACACGCCUCUUGCCAUUAGAUAUCAUGAAUAUCUUUUGGAGUCAAUGAGUUUUGGGUUUGAAGGUGAUCUACUUGAUCCUCUAGUUGUUUGAAAUUUUUUGCCAUGUGGUCUACAUGUGGUGUAAAACCAGCUUUCAACUUAUAAUUUUGGGUUCUAGUUUUUCUAUCCUUUUACUUUACAUGAGUCGGCAAAAAGGCUCAUAACUGGUAUAUGCUUGAUGUGAAGGGACAUUCAAAAUUUCUCCUUAAUGCAGGUCUUCCCACAGAUGGAAGUAGUUUUCAUCCUUCUUCAAUUGGCUGAUUCUUUGUUUUUAUGUUGCAGAGUCCUCUAGUGGUGGUUCGCCCUCGAAUAAUUACAGAAGACGCACAGGAGAAGUUAUCGGUAUAGCUGUCGGAUGUGCAGGUGGACUACUGAUACUCGCAUCCAUUUUCUAUCUAUAUGGUGGAUGAAGGAUGCACCUGGCCAUAUCCGAGUGCACACAGACUCACCAAGAUUUGUAUUUUCAGCAUUAUUGUAAUUGUAAUUGUAAUUGAUUGAAUAAAUGAA